ensembl:sRNA
GCCUAGCCCUGAUAGUAGCGACAUCCUUUUACUUUUUCCUUUAAAAAGUAAAAGAUAUAGCGGAUAGCAGGAAAUAGC